GAGAGCCGGAUGCAUAGCGAAAGAUGCACGUCCGGUUCGGCGAGGGGGCACGCGAAACUGCCGGUCGCGAGAUCGGCGCGGCGCGCGUGCUCUACUCAAC
rnacentral:ncRNA from 1 species